rnacentral:rRNA from 1 species
GAUGAACGCUGGCGGCGUGCCUAAUACAUGCAAGUCGAGCGAAUGGAUUAAGAGCUUGCUCUUAUGAAGUUAGCGGCGGACGGGUGAGUAACACGUGGGUAACCUGCCCAUAAGACUGGGAUAACUCCGGGAAACCGGGGCUAAUACCGGAUAACAUUUUGAACCGCAUGGUUCGAAAUUGAAAGGCGGCUUCGGCUGUCACUUAUGGAUGGACCCGCGUCGCAUUAGCAAGUUGGUGAGGUAACGGCUCACCAAGGCAACGAUGCGUAGCCGACCUGAGAGGGUGAUCGGCCACACUGGGACUGAGACACGGCCCAGACUCCUACGGGAGGCAGCAGUAGGGAAUCUUCCGCAAUGGACGAAAGUCUGACGGAGCAACGCCGCAUGAGUGAUGAAGGCUUUCGGGUCGUAAAACUCUGUUGUUAGGGAAGAACAAGUGCUAGUUGAAUAAGCUGGCACCUUGACGGUACCUAACCAGAAAGCCACGGCUAACUACGUGCCAGCCGCCGCCGUAA